AAUCCAUGACAUGGAUAGAAUCUGAGCAUACUUUUGAAUCUAUCUCACACUUCAUAAAGAGAUUCCAUAUUAGUCUAUUUGAAGCUAGUAAUCUAAUUUCUCAUAUG